GGGGGUAUAACUCAGUGGUUGAGCACUUACCUAGGAUGCAUGAGAAUGUGGGUUCAAGCUCCAACACUUCCA
rnacentral:tRNA from 1 species